UACGAAGGGGGCUAGCGUUGUUCGGAUUUACUGGGCGUAAAGCGCACGUAGGCGGAUUGGUCAGUUAGGGGUGAAAUCCUGGAGCUCAACUCCAGAACUGCCUUUAAUACUGCCAGUCUCGAGUCCGGAAGAGGUAAGUGGAACUCCUAGUGUAGAGGUGGAAUUCGUAGAUAUUAGGAAGAACACCAGUGGCGAAGGCGGCUUACUGGUCCGGUACUGACGCUGAGGUGCGAAAGCUAGGGGAGCGAACAGG
rnacentral:rRNA from 1 species